rnacentral:misc_RNA from 1 species
AGCAGCCGCGGUAAUUCCAGCUCCAAUAGCGUAUAUUAAAGUUGUUGCAGUUAAAAGCUCGUAGUUGAAUUUCGGGGUUAGCAGGUCGGUCGUGCCAUCGGUAUGAACUGGUCUCGCUGAUCCCUCCCUCUUGACGAACUGUGAUGCCAUUAAUUUGGUGUCGCAGGGAAUCAGGACUGUUACUUUGAAAAAUUAGAGUGUUUAAAGCAGGCUCACGCUUGAAUACAUUAGCAUGGAAUAAUGAAAUAGGACGUUUGAUCCUAUUUUGUUGGCUUCUAGGAUUGACGUAAUGAUUAAUAGGGAUAGUUGGGGGCAUUAGUAUUCAAUUGUCAGAGGUGAAAUUCUUGGAUUUUAUUGAAGACUAACUACUGCGAAAGCAUUUGCCAAGGAUUGUUUUCAUUAAUCAAGAACGUAAAGUUAGGGAUACGAAGACGGUCAGAUACCGUCGUAGUCUUAACCUAUAAACUAUAGACCGACUAGGGA